GAUGAACGCUGGCGGCGUGCCUAAUACAUGCAAGUCGAGCGAACAGACGAGGAGCUUACUCCUCUGACGUUAGCGGCGGACGGGUGAGUAACACGUGGAUAACCUACCUAUAAGACUGGGAUAACUUCGGGAAACCGGAGCUAAUACCGGAUAACAUGUUGAACCGCAUGGUUCAACAGUGAAAGACGGUCUUGCUGUCACUUAUAGAUGGAUCCGCGUCGCAUUAGCUAGUUGGUAAGGUAACGGCUUACCAAGGCAACGAUGCGUAGCCGACCUGAGAGGGUGAUCGGCCACACUGGAACGGAGACACGGUCCAUACUCCUACGGGAGGCAGCAGUAGGGAAUCUUCCGCAAUGGGCGAAAGCCUGACGGAGCAACGCCGCGUGAGUGAAGAAGGUCUUCGGAUCGUAAAACUCUGUUAUUAGGGAAGAACAAAUGUGUAAGUAACUAUGCACGUCUUGACGGUACCUAAUCAGAAAGCCACGGCUAACUACGUG
rnacentral:rRNA from 1 species